GGUGAAAAGCACCCCGGAAGGGGAGUGAAAUAGAACCUGAAACCGUGUGCUUACAAGUAGUCAGAGCCCGUUAAUGGGUGAUGGCGUGCCUUUUGUAGAAUGAACCGGCGAGUUACGAUUUGAUGCAAGGUUAAGCAGUAAAUGUGGAGCCGUAGCGAAAGCGAGUCUGAAUAGGGCGUUUAGUAUUUGGUCGUAGACCCGAAACCAGGUGAUCUACCCUUGGUCAGGUUGAAGUUCAGGUAACACUGAAUGGAGGACCGAACCGACUUACGUUGAAAAGUGAGCGGAUGAACUGAGGGUAGCGGAGAAAUUCCAAUCGAACCUGGAGAUAGCUGGUUCUCUCCGAAAUAGCUUUAGGGCUAGCCUCAAGUGAUGAUUAUUGGAGGUAGAGCACUGUUUGGACGAGGGGCCCCUCUCGGGUUACCGAAUUCAGACAAACUCCGAAUGCCAAUUAAUUUAACUUGGGAGUCAGAACAUGGGUGAUAAGGUCCGUGUUCGAAAGGGAAACAGCCCAGACCACCAGCUAAGGUCCCAAAAUAUAUGUUAAGUGGAAAAGGAUGUGGCGUUGCCCAGACAACUAGGAUGUUGGCUUAGAAGCAGCCAUCAUUUAAAGAGUGCGUAAUAGCUCACUAGUCGAGUGACACUGCGCCGAAAAUGUACCGGGGCUAAACAUAUUACCGAAGCUGUGGAUUGUCCUUUGGACAAUGGUAGGAGAGCGUUCUAAGGGCGUUGAAGCAUGAUCGUAAGGACAUGUGGAGCGCUUAGAAGUGAGAAUGCCGGUGUGAGUAGCGAAAGACGGGUGAGAAUCCCGUCCACCGAUUGACUAAGGUUUCCAGAGGAAGGCUCGUCCGCUCUGGGUUAGUCGGGUCCUAAGCUGAGGCCGACAGGCGUAGGCGAUGGAUAACAGGUUGAUAUUCCUGUACCACCUAUAAUCGUUUUAAUCGAUGGGGGGACGCAGUAGGAUAGGCGAAGCGUGCGAUUGGAUUGCACGUCUAAGCAGUAAGGCUGAGUAUUAGGCAAAUCCGGUACUCAUUAAGGCUGAGCUGUGAUGGGGAGAAGACAUUGUGUCUUCGAGUCGUUGAUUUCACACUGCCGAGAAAAGCCUCUAGAUAGAAAAUAGGUGCCCGUACCGCAAACCGACACAGGUAGUCAAGAUGAGAAUUCUAAGGUGAGCGAGCGAACUCUCGUUAAGGAACUCGGCAAAAUGACCCCGUAACUUCGGGAGAAGGGGUGCUCUUUAGGGUUAACGCCCAGAAGAGCCGCAGUGAAUAGGCCCAAGCGACUGUUUAUCAAAAAC
rnacentral:rRNA from 1 species